rnacentral:rRNA from 1 species
UACAGAGGUCUCGAGCGUUAGGCGGAAUCACUGGGCUUAAAGCGUGUGUAGGCGGAUCGUUAAGUGCCUUGUGAAAUCCCAUGGCUUAACCAUGGAACUGCUUGGCAUACUGGCGGUCUUGAGCCACUUAGGGGCAACCGGAACAAAUGGUGGAGCGGUGAAAUGCGUAGAUAUCGUUUGGAACGCCGAAGGUGAAGACAGGCAACUGGGAGUGCGCCGACGCUGAGACGCGAAAGCCAGGGGAGCAAACGGG